UUCUCGUUAGAUUACCGAAGUCAAGCAUCAUUGGGCGCGGUCAGUACUCGGGUGGGUGAUCACCUGGGGAACACCGCGUGGCG